rnacentral:rRNA from 1 species
UACGAAGGGGGCUAGCGUUGCUCGGAAUCACUGGGCGUAAAGGGUGCGUAGGCGGGUCUUUAAGUCAGGGGGGAAAUCCUGGAGCUCAACUCCAGAACUGCCUUUGAUACUGAAGAUCUUGAGUUCGGGAGAGGUGAGUGGAACUGCGAGUGUAGAGGUGAAAUUCGUAGAUAUUCGCAAGAACACCAGUGGCGAAGGCGGCUCACUGGCUCGAUACUGACGCUAAGGCGCGAAAGCGUGGGGAGCAAACAGG